UGCGUAGGCGGUUUGAUCAGUCAGUGGUGAAAGUUUGCAGCUUAACUGUAAAAUUGCCAUUGAUACUGUCAGACUUGAGUACAGAUGAGGUAGGCGGAAUGUGUAGUGUAGCGGUGAAAUGCUUAGAUAUUACACAGAACACCGAUUGCGAAGGCAGCUUACUAAACUGUCACUGACGCUGAGGCACGAAAGUGUGGGGAUCAAACAGGAUUAGAUACCCUGGUAGUC
rnacentral:rRNA from 1 species